UUACGUUCUUUUUGUUAAAUAGUUUUCAGGUUUGUUUUAUUCCUUUUGAAAUCUUCCAGUGUUUUAAAACAACAUGAAAACAUUUAGAAUUUCCUUUGGUGGAAUAUUAUUACACGUCUCGCAUAUAUGUAAACUUGUGGCUCGCCAUAUUACCAGCACACGCUCCCUACGGAAGAUUUUUCUGAGCAAUUUACCCUUUUAUUUUUUUAUUUUUACGGCCAAGGGGAGUCCAGGGAAACGUCAAGCCCCUGUGGUCGUGAAAGGGUUAAAAAAAACAAAACAUAAUAGAAUGAAAAUUAAAAUGAAAUAAAUAUAAAGAAAAUAAAAU